CCCUUAGAUGUUCUGGGCCGCACGCGCGCUACACUGAAGGGAUCAGCGUGUUUUCCCUUCCCGAGAGGGACGGGUAACCCGCUAAACCCCCUUCGUGGUAGGGAUCGGAGCUUGCAAUUGUUCUCCGUGAACCAGGAAUUCCCAGUAAGCGCAAGUCAUAAGCUUGCGUUGAUUACGUCCCUGCCCUUUGUACACACCGCCCGUCGCUACUACCGAUUGAACGUUUUAGUGAGGUAUUUGGACUGGGCCUUGGGAGGUUUCGGCCUCCCUUGUUGCUCGGAAAGACUCCCAAACUUGAGCGUUUAGAGGAAGUAAAAGUCGUAACA
rnacentral:rRNA from 1 species